rnacentral:rRNA from 1 species
CAGUAGCCGCGGUAAUACGAAGGGGGCUAGCGUUGCUCGGAAUGACUGGGCGUAAAGGGCGCGUAGGCGGUUUUCCAAGUUAGAUGUGAAAUUCCUGGGCUCAACCUGGGGGCUGCAUUUGAUACUGGGAGGCUUGAGUAUGGAAGAGGGUCGUGGAAUUCCCAGUGUAGAGGUGAAAUUCGUAGAUAUUGGGAAGAACACCGGUGGCGAAGGCGGCGACCUGGUCCAUAACUGACGCUGAGGCGCGAAAGCGUGGGGAGCAAACAGGAUUAGAUACCCCCGUAGUCCCUGUCUCUUAUAC